UGAGUGAGAUAAUUCUGUCGUGA
rnacentral:piRNA from 1 species